UACGGGGAGGACAAGUGUUAUUCGUUAGUAUUUUGGCGUUAAGGAUUCGUAGAUAGUUUUAUAGAAUGUAGUUAAAAGUAAAAUCCUUUUAUAGUAGAAUAGGAUAUUUUUAAAACGAUAAAACUUUUUGAGAACUAAAGGAAAUAUUAGUAUUUUUAGAGGAAAGGUAAAAUUUGGAGAUAUUAAAAAGAAUGUCAAUAGCGAAGGCAAUUAUUUUUUUAGUUCUGACAUUAAGGGAUGAAGGUUCGGGGAGCAAACGGG
rnacentral:rRNA from 1 species